UGAGUCCAUGUUUCAUAAGAUUCUUUGGUUCCUUCAGUCCUUCAUAGUCAGAAUGGAGUUGUGGAUAUCCGCAGUCUUAGUUCCGGACAGUGCAAUCUAGGUAUUAAAUGUUAAAACGGCUUGCCAUAGACGGUGUCUCUCCCUUCCCCUUUUUCCUUUUUAGGUGUUUUGCACUCUGUGGCUGCUGCAACAGCUGCAGCUGAUUAAGAUCAGCUGCUGGAUUGAAGGCACGUGCGGUCCCAGCCAAUCAGCCUCCACCACCACGACCACAAAAGCCGACGCCACUCGUCCUCCUGUGCUGGAUCGUGAAAAGCCACUAUUAUUGAUCAGCAGCAACUUCUGAAUGCCGUCUGAGAUCGCUCCAUUCUCCAUUUGGAUUCCUCCGAUGCCACACGGCAACCACCUACCGUUCCCUCCAGCGUCCAUGUCAGCCAUCCCCUCCGUCACAGUCAACCCCAGACUUCUCCACGGCCGGGACCCUGUCCAAGCAUCCAGAGUCCUUUGAGUUUUUCGUUUACGUCUAGUUAUCUUUCGAGUUUAGUGUCUCAUUCUGAGUUGUACCAGCCUUAAGCUGCGCUUUGAGUUUAUCCUUGCUUCUCGCUUGCGUAUUGAGCUAAGUUUUGAUUUUGAGUGAAAUUCUGUUUAAUCUUUUGAGUUAUCAGCCAUUGGCUUUGCUUUUUGUUAUCCUUUUGGUUUUGUUUAAGUUUACAGUGCUUCAGUUCUUACCGGAGAAAUACUUACCGUAAGUCUGGGUUGUCAUUCGUCUUCCUAGCCACGAGUAGCAGCAGCGAGUCUUCUACCACUCUGUAGUUCCGCUUAGCCUCUGUCUGCUAACUGAAUCCUGUGUUGAUUAUUAUAUUUUUGGCAAUAAAGCCUCUAAAUCUUA